UUAGCCCAGAGGGUGUGAAAUUAAUGAAAUUCUUUUUUUUUUUACAAUGAGGAAGCUGAGGCCAGGAACAUUUCAGUAACUUGAUCAGUCACAGAAACGGAUCCCUGGUUGCCUGAAUCUCAAUGCACUGUUUCUCCCAUGCUUCUAUCUGCCUCUCAGACGUACAGUCAGGGCAAUUUAUUCUUCUAGAAAUGGCAAGUGCAAGAGACCAAGGCAAAUUGUACAAACACACUGAAAGCCACGGCUCAUGCCAAAGGCGCUAACAUUCCGCUGGCUUAAGCGGGUCAUGUGCUCAUCGCAGCAUCACUGCUGUGGAGAAACGGGCUUCACUUACUCGGACGCAGCAUUACUGCUAGGUUAUCUGGUAAAGCGCAUCCACGUGUGUGCCUUCUAUACGGAGGGAGCGAAGAGGGUGAACAAUACUCAGUCUAGAAAGUCACCAAGUAACUUGAGUGUACGGAUUCAGCCUGAUGAAUCCUCCUUUCUCCACUGUCUGGCAUGCGAUAAAAAGGACAGCUAGCCCAGGGAAAAAAGAAAGAAAAAGCCGAGUAUUAGAAGAGCCUGCAUGGAAGUUGAACCCUGUCUGGCACACAAAGGAAUUCAGAAGCCUCUAUUUCCCUUAGCAAGAACUCAGGUGUUCUUUUAUACUUGAGUUACAAACCACACAGGAAAGAGUCAAGGCUUGGAGCAUUUAAGGUCAAACUUGGCUUGCAGCUCUGAAGACUUCCAAGAAAGAAAGUCUGAGCUUAUUACACAGCAGAAGCCACAGGCUCUUUUCAAGCUAGGAAAUUUAUUCAGAGGCUCAAAAUAAAGCCGCUGGAUGGAACCA
rnacentral:lncRNA from 13 species